GACGAACGCUGGCGGCGUGCUUAACACAUGCAAGUCGAACGAAGUGGCGAACGGGUGAGUAACGCGUAAUCAACCUGCCCUUCAGAGGGGGACAACAGUUGGAAACGACUGCUAAUACCGCAUACUUAAGGAGGGGGUUGCGUUUGAUUAGCUCGUUGGAGGGGUAACGGCCCACCAAGGCGAUGAUAAGUAGGCGGGUGGGGAGGAUGAACGGCCAAAUUGGGACUGGGACACGGCCCAGACUCCUCCGGGAGGGAGCAGUGGGGAAUCUUCCGCAAUGGACGAAAGGCUGACGGAGCAACGCCGCGUGAGUGAUGACGGCCUUCGGGUUGUAAAGCUCUGUUAAUCGGGACGCGGUACCGGAAUAGAAAGCAACGGCUAACUACGUGCCAGCAGCCGCGGUAAUAC
rnacentral:rRNA from 1 species